ACGAGGCUUAAAGAUACCGAACCUAAAGGCACAGUGAUACGUUCACAACCUGAUUGGUCGGGUUGAAUGACGUAUAUUUCACGACGGAACUCACCGAAUACCCCAAACAAAAGCUGUGUUCGACUUAAAGCGGCGCUGCGCAGACCGAUCGGUGUAUGACAUCAAAGUACCCAUUCACUGAUCGGUAUGCGCAGCACCGCUUUAAGCCGAACACACACAAUGCUGUCUGCUGGACUAAGCGCGCUCAUUGCUGCGUGUACUUUAUUUUCACCACCUGCAAACUUUUGGAUACACCGCUCGUCCCGCAUCGUUAAAUCAUGUCACAUAGCAUCGCAUCUUGUCAUUACUUCCUGUUUUUGGUUCGUUUAGAACGGACCGAGACCCAUCUUUUUUAGCGGUCUCUGUCCGCUUGUUUGGUGUGCACCAGGGUUCGGAUGGCAGCGUUCACAUUUACUCAAACGAACCGCACUAACAGAGCAAUUGCACCAGGGUUCGUUUUAAUCGAACCAAACAUGACAAGUGUGAACACACCCUUAGACUCUUUAUGGUACACCAGGCUUAGUAAUGAUAUUUUUUUUUACAGAGUUGCAUAACUCUCGUGUCUGUUGUGAAGUGUUUUAUAUACAAAUGUUUCUCAAAAGCAUUUUAAUCAGUGCAAUCAAUGGACAAACCUACGUAUUAGUAUCAGAAAUUCACUGAAUGUCCUGUCAACCAAGCUAAAGGGUGUAAAACUAUUAUUUUAAUGGUGCUGCUUAUGCUAAGUGUUAGCUUCCACAAAUUAUUUUCAUUGUACUACAUCCAACUCAUUUUUGCUGCCUUUUCAGCCAAGUCAACAGUAGGAAAAAAUGUGUUCCUUUUUUUAUUUUGUUCAUAAAAUGUGCUUAAUUUUCAUUUAUCUGACAAGACCUGACAAUUUAAAGCAUCAUUAGUACAGUGCAGCACUGUUUACUUUGAUUAUAUUGAAUGUUGUGCAUUGUUCAUUUAACAACUUAAUGUCUUAAGUUGGGGUUACAUUAGCGAAGUGUCAAUGAAAAACUGUUAGCGAUGCAUGAAGUGUAGCUCACAAAGAAUUCCCUUUCAAACCAGGCAACUCUCUGUUGGUUAAUGGAGUGAAUCUGCAUAAUCAGUUUGAACUCUUGCCUGGGGAAAUCUUUUGCCCUCUCGCGAAGCUCCCAGUCACUUGGAUUUGUAUAGAAAUUACUGGACUUUACCCAUAAAAAAUUUGCCAAACCGUAAAUGUGAUCACACCUUUAAUGCAGUUGGUCUCGAAAGUUGUCAGCUGCUCUAAAUUUCUGAAAGGUGCAGUACAUAAGAAGCAUGGCCUAUGAACAAGAAAUAAGGUGUUUUUUGUUUUUCUCCAGUCACCUUAAUUUUGCUCAAUAUUGCUUACACGUGUGAAUGUUCUACUUGCUUCAUUGCAAAACGUUGACAACAUAACUAUGAGUACUUUUUCUUUAAUCAGAUGGACUAAUAUAUGCAAGUUAAUCUGAUAAUUGUAUUGACACUGGAAAUCUGACAAUCCUUUUUUUUUCAUAUAAUGUUCUUUAUUUCAUCACAAUAUACAGUGCCCAAAUGAGUUGAUAUUUGUCUUUUAUAAAUUAUUGUUGAAUUCA